rnacentral:lncRNA from 1 species
UGGAUUCGUUGACUUUCAUAACUCAUAAGCGAUCAGAUGAGUUCAAUGGAAACAAGUCCCUUCAUCUUCAUGAUCAUCUGAAAGCUUCAAUUGAUGCAGUAAGUUCUUCGUCCAACUAUAUCUAUAUGGGAAAUCCAUUAUUUAUUCGUUAUUUAUUUCAUUUGCUUCAUCUUAAUUGCAGCUAUAUAUAUGGUUUCAUGUUCAACACUUUGUUAAUUGCACUAAAGUUUUCAACUUCAACUGAAAACUUUCUGAUGCAAGUCACCAACUGGGUAAACUCAAAGUUGACAAAUUCCCAAUUGGGUAAGCUCAGAGUUCAAAAAUUGUCUUGUAAAAAGUUUUCUUAUAAUUAAAACAACAAAAGCACUCCUAGAAACCAAUCCAAACCAGAUAGAGAAAAAAUAAAAGCAAAAGCAAAAAAUUAUGACCCCAUGACAAUGAA